rnacentral:rRNA from 1 species
AUUGAACGCUGGCGGCAGGCCUAACACAUGCAAGUCGAGCGGAUGAUGGGAGCUUGCUCCUUGAUUCAGCGGCGGACGGGUGAGUAAUGCCUAGGAAUCUGCCUGGUAGUGGGGGACAACGUUUCGAAAGGAACGCUAAUACCGCAUACGUCCUACGGGAGAAAGCAGGGGACCUUCGGGCCUUGCGCUAUCAGAUGAGCCUAGGUCGGAUUAGCUAGUUGGUGGGGUAAUGGCUCACCAAGGCGACGAUCCGUAACUGGUCUGAGAGGAUGAUCAGUCACACUGGAACUGAGACACGGUCCAGACUCCGACGGGAGGCAGCAGUGGGGAAUAUUGGACAAUGGGCGAAAGCGUGAUCCAGCCAUGCCGCGUGUGUGAAGAAGGUCUUCGGAUUGUAAAGCACUUUAAGUUGGGAGGAAGGGCAGUAAGUUAAUACCUUGCUGUUUUGACGUUACCGACAGAAUAAGCACCGGCUAACUCUGUGCCAGCCGCCGCUGUAAUAC